rnacentral:rRNA from 1 species
UACGAAGGGGGCUAGCGUUGUUCGGAAUCACUGGGCGUAAAGCGCACGUAGGCGGAUUUGUAAGUCAGGGGUGAAAUCCCGGGGCUCAACCUCGGAACUGCCUUUGAUACUGCGAGUCUCGAGUCCGGAAGAGGUGAGUGGAAUUCCUAGUGUAGAGGUGAAAUUCGUAGAUAUUAGGAAGAACACCAGUGGCGAAGGCGGCUCACUGGUCCGGUACUGACGCUGAGGUGAGAAAGCGUGGGGAGCAAACAGG